ensembl:snoRNA small Cajal body-specific RNA 10
GUUUGAUGAUGAUAUAAAGGCUAAUGUGACUCAACCAGCAGGGUUGCUCCUUCAGCCCAUUCCAGUAUACGGGUCUGUAAUCUUGGUGGACAAUGCAGAGCUGUGCGUGUUCGCUGUAAGGGCAGGCCGACAGAAAAGCCCCUUCCCUGUGUCCCUGGGAAACAAAUCCUUGGGAUGUGUCAGCUCUUAGCAAGUGCUUCUAGGAACUGACUGGUGACUGGGGAACAGGAUGGGAAAGUGCCUCUGAGGUUUUGGUUGUAGGAGGCAGCCCAUGUUACAGCUGGUGAGAUAUGAGCACACAUCUUUGGUAAUCUGAUGACU